CGGGAGGCAGCAGUCGAGAAUCUUCCACAAUGGGCGAAAGCCUGAUGGAGCGACGCCGCGUGUACGAUGAAGCUCUUCGGAGUGUAAAGUACUUUUAUGUUUGAAGAAGUUCCCACUUAGUGGGAUUUGACAUUAAGACAGGAAUAAGGGGUUGCUAAACUCGUGCCAGCAGCAGCGGUAAUACGAGUGCCCCGAGCGUUGUCCGGAAUCACUGGGCGUAAAGAGUGUGUAGGGGGUGCUGUUAGUCUUGCUUUAAAUUUUUGCGCUCAACGCAAAAAAUGGGUGAGAAACGGCAGUACUUUGAGGAUGCGAGAGGUCUGUGGAACUCUGGGUGUAGGGGUGAAAUCCGUUGAUAUCCAGAGGAACACCAAAAGCGAAGGCAGCAGGCUGGCGUAUUCCUGACCCUGAGACACGAAAGCGUGGGUAGCGAAAGGGAUUAGAUACCCCGGUAGUC
rnacentral:rRNA from 1 species